UAUAUGGUAGCAAAAAUCCCCAUGACUUAAUAGGGUUCUGCUUUGUCUGUGUUCAAAUUAGAAGAGAAGGGUGACAGAGUUUAUUUUACACCUAAUACUAAGUGAUGGAGCUGAUGUAAUUUAGAAUACUUAUCUUCAGUUUCAGCAUCCUCCAUUUUCUAAGUAAAGAAGGCAAAUUUAUGCCACAAAGCUAUUUUAGGGAUAGCUGUACUCUGCGU